AACGAACGCUGGCGGCAUGCCUAACACAUGCAAGUCGAACGAUUGCCUUCGGGUGAUAGUGGCGCACGGGUGCGUAACGCGUGGGAAUCUGCCCCUAGGUUCGGAAUAACCGCUGGAAACGGCGGCUAAUACCGGAUGAUAUCGCGAGAUCAAAGAUUUAUCGCCUGAGGAUGAGCCCGCGUUGGAUUAGGUAGUUGGUGGGGUAAAGGCCUACCAAGCCGACGAUCCAUAGCUGGUCUGAGAGGAUGAUCAGCCACACUGGGACUGAGACACGGCCCAGACUCCUACGGGAGGCAGCAGUGGGGAAUAUUGGACAAUGGGCGCAAGCCUGAUCCAGCAAUGCCGCGUGAGUGAUGAAGGCCCUAGGGUUGUAAAGCUCUUUUACCCGGGAAGAUAAUGACGGUACCGGGAGAAUAAGCCCCGGCUAACUCCGUG
rnacentral:rRNA from 1 species